CCAGGAACGGUGACUCCACCACCUCUCUGGGCAACCUAUUCCAAUGCCUGACCGCUCUUUCUAAGAAGAAAUGUCUCCUCAUUUCUAACCUAAACCUCCCCCGGUGCAUAGCAACUUAGAAUAGCUUGGAAUAAGUUGCAUGGCUCAAGACGCUGACUACAACAAGAAAUUUUCUGAAGUUUAUGAGCCAGGUUUCCUAGUCUCAUCCUGUGAUUGCAUCACUUGUGUCUCUGGGGAGGAUGAGAGAAAAAAGAAGAAUCAGAGCAACUAUUAGUG